CGCAGCCGCGGUAAUUCCAGCUCCAAUAGCGUAUAUUAAAGUUGUUGCAGUUAAAAAGCUCGUAGUUGAAUUUCGGGAUUUAUCCGUCGGUCGGGCUUUCGGGUCUGUACUGGCGUGAUGGAUUCCUACCUUCUGAAUAACCGGCAUGUCAUUAAUUUGGUGCGCCGGGGAAGCAGGACUGUUACCUUGAAAAAAUUAGAGUGCUUAAAGCAGGCUUAUGCCUGAAUACAUUAGCAUGGAAUAAUGAAAUAGGACGGCAUGGUUCUAUUUUGUUGGUUUCUAGGAUCACCGUAAUGAUUAAUAGGGAUAGUUGGGGGCAUUAGUAUUCAAUUGUCAGAGGUGAAAUUCUUGGAUUUAUUGAAGACUAACUUCUGCGAAAGCAUUUGCCAAGGAUGUCUUCAUUAAUCAAGAACGAAAGUUAGGGGAUCGAAGACGAUCAGAUACCGUCGUAGUCUUAACCAUAAACUAUGCCGACUAGGGAUCGGACGAUGUUAAUUUUUUAAUGACUCGUUCGGCGCCUUACG
rnacentral:rRNA from 1 species